rnacentral:tRNA from 1 species
GCGGGCGUAGCGCAGAGGUCGUCGCGCCGGGACUCAUCUUCCCGGAGGACGCCGGUUCGAAUCCGGCCGUCCCGCCC